rnacentral:rRNA from 1 species
GACGAACGCUGGCGGCGUGCUUAACACAUGCAAGUCGAACGGAAAGGCCCUGCUUUUGUGGGGUGCUCGAGUGGCGAACGGGUGAGUAACACGUGAGUAACCUGCCCUUGACUUUGGGAUAACUUCAGGAAACUGGGGCUAAUACCGGAUAGUAGCUCCUGCUGCAUGGUGGGGGUUGGAAAGUUUCGGCGGUUGGGGAUGGACUCGCGGCUUGUCAGCUUGUUGGUGGGGUAGUGGCUUACCAAGGCUUUGACGGGUAGCCGGCCUGAGAGGGUGACCGGCCACAUUGGGACUGAGAUACGGCCCAGACUCCUACGGGAGGCAGCAGUGGGGAAUAUUGCACAAUGGGCGGAAGCCUGAUGCAGCAACGCCGCGUGCGGGAUGACGGCCUUCGGGUUGUAAACCGCUUUCGCCUGUGACGAAGCGUGAGUGACGGUAAUGGGUAAAGAAGCACCGGCUAACUACGUG